rnacentral:rRNA from 1 species
UACGGAGGGGGCUAGCGUUGUUCGGAAUUACUGGGCGUAAAGCGCACGUAGGCGGCUUUACAAGUCAGAGGUGAAAGCCCGGAGCUUAACUCCGGAAUUGCCUUUAAAACUGCAUCGCUAGAAUUGUGGAGAGGUGAGUGGAAUUCCGAGUGUAGAGGUGAAAUUCGUAGAUAUUCGGAAGAACACCAGUGGCGAAGGCGACUCACUGGACACAUAUUGACGCUGAGGUGCGAAAGCGUGGGGAGCAAACAGG